GUGUUUAUGACGCUGAGGUCCCACCUGUUCCCAUCCCGAACACAGUAGUUAAGCUCAGCAGUGCCGAAGAUACUUGGCGGGCAGCUGCCCGGGAAAAUAGGACGACGCC
rnacentral:rRNA from 1 species